ACACGGCCAGGAUGCGGGUACGGCGCGCGGCGCACCUAGGAUGCAGAGGUCCCCAACUCUCAGGUGCCCUCCCUGUGCCUCCUUAAAAUUGGCGCACUGGGUGCCUCUCUUGCCUCACCUUAGUCCCAGCCCUGUGCUCCGCAGAUCCCUAAGGACGGCAAUAACCGCUUCUGGUCUCUCGUCUCGGCUUGUUUAAAAUCUGACUUAGUGAGGGGGCGUGCGGGUUAUAGCAAGCUGAAGCUUGUCUGCCGAGUUGGCGAUACAGUUAACAGUUCACACACCUUGGCCAGCCAUGUCUUCUGACCCAUCCCACAAUCACAAACACUCUCCCAUUGAUUCCCAACCCAGGAAAGUCCCGAGUGGCCUGGACAAGGAGUGAGGGCUCUGCCCCAGAUCUCACUCCAGGAGAGUCCCCAGCUGCAGACGGGCGGUGUUCUUGCUUCACUGUGCUUUAGAGGGCCUAUUAUCCUGUGAUGAUGGGCUGAUGGUUCUCAAGUAAUUAAACAAUGCCAGGAGUCUUUUAAACAAUCCCCUAAUUACUAGUCUCACCACCAGAAUUACACCCUCCAAAUCCUAGUUGAUGCUGCUGAAGACUUUUGGGAGCGACAGACGAUGGGAGAAAGGUCCCAGGAGAGCGUCUCGUCUGGGGUUGAGAUGUGUGAGGGGGUACAGUUUCCCAGCGUGGUGGCACAAUCUGGACAGCGGUUUCAGGGGUUUCCAGUGGACCGGCUCAGCCCCCAAACCACGAAGAGCCUCUGGCUGAGACCCAGACUGUAAAUGGUGGUGAUUCCUUCCGGUCAUGGGAUCGUCAUAAAGCUGAGCUCUCGAAUUCUCAUGGAGCCUGGUCAAGAACACACAGUACCUCCCUCAUCCGCUGUACCGUUUGGGAAACGUAAGCUAGUCCCUGGACCACAGCAGCCUCUCUCCGGGAGCCCAGUGGCAGAGCCAAGCUCGGUGCCUGCCCAUGUUCUAACCCUCAUGUUACCCCACAACAGAUGGACACACAGGAAGUCCCAACUGUGCUGAACACGACAGACGAGUAGUACCCAGAAACUGUGAGAAUACAGAGAAAAGACAGAGCUCGUCAGCUCAGAGCAGUGGUUCUCAAAGUAUCACCCAGGCACCCCUGGUGGUCCCCGAGAACUUCUCAGGGAUUCAUGGGUUUAAGCUAUUUUGAUAACAAUAUUAAGAAGUUAUCUGCUUUUUUCACUCUCAUUGUCUGAAAAGUGUAUAGUGGAGUUUUCCAGAGCCUACGUGAUUUGUGGUAUCACAAUAGAUGGAAUGCCUAAGCGGAUACAAGAAUCCAGCUAUCUUCUCUUAAGCCAGAUAAUAAAGAGUUUUGCAAAAUGUAAAAUAAUGCCACUUUUCCCUGUUUUUUGUUCUGGAAAAUAUAGUCAAUUUUCAUUUUAAAAGUCAUGUGUGUUAUAUGUGAUAGGUUUAUUACUAUUAUUUUAUGUGAAAUAAACACUUUUAUGUUUU